CCCUCCCCACAAGCAACGCCGAUUCUCGCGGCUUCCGCGCCCGCUCUCCCCUCCAAAACCCUAGAAAGCGCGGCGAUGCGAGCGCGCGGAGGAGAGCGAGGUUCUACUCAGCUCGCCUCUCCUUCUCUCUACUCCUCCUCCUCCGCCGCCUGCUCCUUCGUCGCCGGCCGUUUUCUCGCCGGAGCUUUUUCCGAUUGGAGAAUGCGGGCGGGUCAGAGCUGGAGACGAAGCAUCAAGAUCAGGCAGCAGCGAGAAAGGAAGAAGGAGAAGGAAGGAGAGAGCGUUUUUUUAGCUCUUUUUUUUUUUUUUUUUUUUGGGGGGCUGUGGGGAGAGACAAAAGCAAGAGGAGAGUAAUGAUUAGCAGUGUUUUGGUCUGCAAUAGAGGAAAGAGGGAAGAGAGAGAGAGAGGGGGGGAAGAGAGAGAGUGUGGCACAGUCAAUUUAGUCAAAAAAGAG
rnacentral:lncRNA from 1 species